GUGCAUCUUGUGGGUCCCGAGGAGGCGUCAUGGCUAGCAGCAGCAGCAGCAUCGUGAAUGUGUCCGGGGCGGAGGGCGGAGAGAAGACUGUGAUCCACGUCAACAUCACCCAGGAGUCCUCCCUGGGGUCCCUCCUCAAGGCCCUGGCAGCCUGUAGGAAGACCCCCAAGCCUCGCCCCAAGGACCCCCAGGGCCCCUCCGCCCCUCCGAAAAAGGCUGGGUGCAAUGCGGAGCAGAAAGUGCUGGGGGGGACACAGAUCCUGCUUGGACUGCUCACCAUCGCCAUCGGGUGUGUCCUGUGCCUUGGACAAGGGGCUGACUAUUAUGGCUAUUGGCUAUUCGGACCACUCUGGAAUGGAGCUCCUUUCUGGUCGGGGGGCGUGCUCUUCGUGGCCGGUGUCCUCUCCGUUGUGGGCGACAGACGUGGUGGCCGCUGGGUCCACCUGGCCACCUUUUCCCACCUGGCCAGCGUUGUCGCCUGCUCCGUGGCCCUGGCAGUCGGUGAGGCAGACUUGCCCCCCCUCAAGUUCGAAUCCUACUACUCUGAGAAAUUGUGCAGGGACGCCCAGUACAGGGACCGCUAUUACCAGCCAUGGGAGACAGCUGCCCCCAUCCCUGAGGACACUGACAGGGUCCAGCAGUGUGAGGAUAUGAUCCAGAAUCUCUGGAAAAUUGCUGCUGGACUCAGGAUCCUGCUGUUAGUCCUUUGCAUCGGGGCUCUGGUGAUCGCCGUCUUCUGCCUGGGCAACGGCCUCCGCCGGCUCUGUUGCUCCUUCCUGGGUUGCUGUGAGAACUACAGCCCCCUUGAGGACCCUGAAGUGCCCCCUCCGUAUGAGGAGCCGGCCAAGGAGGAGAACGCCGCCUGAGCCGUGGGGCAGAAGGAGCCGAUGCCUGCCUCUUGCCCCUUCCUCUUGCCCCCUUGCUUGCCUGGGUGGGGGGACCUUGUCCUGGUGAGCGAGCGGGGUGCCCUUCUCACCUGGAGCCCCCACCUGGUCCCAGGACCUAGAUGCUGAAACUCUGGCUGUCUCGCAGCUGCCCUUUCUUGCCCUUUCUUUCUCUCUGCAUAUCUGCUCAUUCCAGCCUCUUCCGGAAUUGGGGCUAGAAGUCACCUGCUAGAAAAACACAAAGCAGGGGGAAGCCCCCCCCCCAGUCAAGGUUUCCAGCAGAAAUCCAGAGCCAUUCAUGCCUUCCCUCCAUCCUGGCUGCAGUUGGGCUCUGAGCUGCCACUUCUGACCUUCCCUGGAAAGGGCUUCCCCGCCUGGUCCUUUGGCACUGCUUGAUAUUACUUGUUCAAACUUCUUCUUCCACAAGCCCCUGGUUUCCAGGGGGUGACAGAUGCUGCCUCUCUGCCUGCCGCUUGAUUUGUAACCAAUAUAUUCUCUAAUAAAAAGAUUUAUCUCUUCUCCUGGGAGUUUUGCUCAUUUGCUUCCAGUCCCUUUUCCAGGAAUGCCAGAGGUGGCUCUCUUCGCAGUUGCUGGCUCUGCCGUAAGAACCUGAGAAGAGCCUCCUGAAUCGGGCCAAAAGGGGCCCACCUAGUCCAGCAGGGGCCACACAGGGGCCCAUUGUGGGAAAGGCGCAAGCAGGACAUGAGCACAACAGCAGCACACCAUCUGUGGAGCUUGCUGCCACUGCAAUGGCUUUCAAAGAGGAUUGGACAAAUUCCUGACAGAGCUGAAGGCAGUCUAG
ensembl:lncRNA